CCUACGGGAGGCAGCAGUGGGGAAUAUUGCACAAUGGGGGGAACCCUGAUGCAGCGACGCCGCGUGAGUGAAGAAGUACUUCGGUAUGUAAAGCUCUAUCAGCAGGGAAGAAAAUGACGGUACCUGACUCAGAUGCCCCGGCGAAAUACGUGCCAGCAGCCGCGGUAAUACGUCGGGGGCAAGCGUUAUGCGGAUUUACUGGGUGUAAAGGGAGCGUAGAUGGUUAUGCAAGUCUGAAGUGAAAGCACAAGGCUCAACCAUGAGACUGCUGUGGAAACUGUAAAGCUGGAGUGCAGGAGAGGUAAGCGGAAUUCCUGGUGUAGCGGUGAAAUGCGUAGAUAUUAGGAGGAACACCAGUGGCGAAGGCGGCUUACUGGACUGUAACUGACGUUGAGGCUCGAAGGCGUGGGGAGCAAACAGGAUUAGAUACCCUAGUAGUC
rnacentral:rRNA from 1 species